rnacentral:tRNA from 2 species
GGGCUCUUAGCUCAGUUGGUAGAGCAGCGGACUCUUAAUCCGUUGGUCGGGAGUUCGAGUCUCCCAGGGCCUACCA